ACGGAGGGUGCAAGCGUUAUCCGGAUUUAUUGGGUUUAAAGGGUGCGUAGGCGGAUUAAUAAGUCAGUGGUGAAAACCUUCAGCUUAACUGGAGAACUGCCAUUGAUACUGUUAGUCUUGAGUACGGUCAAGGUAGGCGGAAUGUGUAAGGUAGCGGUGAAAUGCUUAGAUAUUACGAAGACCACCGAUUGCGAAGGCAGCUUACUGGACCAUUCCUGACGCUGAGGCACGAAAGCGUGGGGAGCGAACAG
rnacentral:rRNA from 1 species